CAGAGUACUAAAUUGUACCCUUUGAUUGAGGCCCGGUCCAGUUUAGUGCCAUUGAUUUUUUUCACUAGUAUGCCAAACAUACAAUGAAUUAAACAAUGUGUAUCUCAUGCUGAUACACCAGCACACACACCCACACACACACCCUUCCCCUUUAGGAUUUGGUUGUACUUAGUCAUGAUCUAUAUCACAGCUCACAGUCACCUGUUUGUAGCUCCAAACGCAACAGUCACUCUACCCGAGACAGAUGUCACCCUGAAAAACAAUGUACUAUAAUGUGUAUAUUAUUUUUCUGUUCUCUUUUGGUAAGCAGUCAAUCUGAAAGUUGUUAUAAAGGUUUAAACAUGCAAUGAUGAAUAGUGUACCUUUAAGUAAGACCUUUCCACAGGGUGUGCUUUUGUAUUUUAUGGAUGUACUGUAUGUUUAUAACCCCUCUCUCUUUCUACAGGGGAGGCAGCCAUCAUGUUUGAACAGAAGAUCUCAGUGACCAGAACUCUGGGCAAAUCAGUUGUGAUAACAUGUAAAUACACCACUGGAUGUUGGAACAACUACCUUCACUGGUACCAGAAAAAAGAUGGAGAAGUUUUCAAGAGAAUGUUGUACAUCAAUGCAGUGGUGGGGGCUGUGGAACUCCAUCAGGACAUCAGUGUGUCUGCAGCUGUGGGGAAAGUGGUCUUAAUUCACUGCAAUUAUGGAACUGGGUGUUGGAGCAACAUCCACUGGUACCAGAAAAAGGAAGGAGAGACCUUUAAGAGAAUCUUAUAUGUAGAUAUAAGCUCUGGUGCCAAAACAAAUGACCCUGGUUAUGAAGCGUUCCAAACAGAGAAAAAAGGAAAUAAAUUCACUCUAAAAAUCCCACAGUUGAAGUCCUCUCAUGCUGCAGUGUACUACUGUGCAUGCUGGGAAGAUUCCUCCUCCCACAGUCAGAAUGAUUGCUAGCAGCCUGCACAAAAACUAUCACAGGAUGGGCUGACAAAUAAACCCAGAGAGUCACCUCAGACAAUGCAAAACAGUUUAUUUUACCUGGCAAAGGAAAAUUACCCACGUUUCUGCAGCUUAGCAACGAUCUGGUGCAACCAGGCGAGGACAGAUAAUGUGUUAGAGGGAGAGGAACACCGGUAAAACUCAGAUGUCUUCUUUACUUUUUAUUUACUUAGA